rnacentral:lncRNA from 1 species
CAGAACUGGGUUCUCACUUGCAAUGACAAGGUUAUUCCAGCUUGAAUCUGUCACCACUUGAACUGCAUGAUUCACAUGAUUCGGUUAGCUCUACAAAUUGACAAGCUCUAGAUAUUACUUGAUUCCUAUGUACAUUAAACAAGCAGAAGUACUUGGUAGUUCAUACUGUUGCAUUAGUGAGAGCACAAUAGCAAUUAAUCAAAAACAAACAAAAAAGAGCAGGGAUUGUGCAGCUGAUUUUACCUUGAUCCACAGCUUCACGAGCUUUGCAAACAAAGCCGGAUUUCUGGAACCGAGUGCUUUUCGGAAGGGCGACGAAGGAUGAAGAUGAGGAGAACUUCAAACCAGACUUCCUCAAUCCAUUACAAGUUGGCACAAUAAGCUUCUCUUUAGAAGAAAAUGGCUGGUAGCAUUGUGCAGCACCAACCCUAGUACUGCACACUGUGCUUAGUUGCAAGCAGUUUUCCAAAGCCAUUAUCUCUUUAUCUUGCUGCUACCACACACUUUUGGUAUAGUGAAUUGGUUGUUGAAAAAGAGGCUGUAUACCCUUUUGUUUUGUGAUGCCAAUUUUUUUGUGCAAGACUUGAUGCAAGUUUUUCCUCUUUUGAUGAUUUUCCUAUUUUGCAAGGUUGUAAAUUUAACUACGUUGGAAGAGUGGAUAUUAUGACACUAGAUUGUAAGGUGCUUAGUGUGCUGGGAUGUAUGUGGAUAAUAUUUGUGUACUGACCUGUCAAUAUGCCCCACCUGGUGUCCUCAGGAAAUUGUCCCAACUCUCAAAUUUUCAAUGCAAGAAAAGAUCCAAAUGAAGGACC